rnacentral:rRNA from 1 species
CAUAUCAACUUUCGAUGCCAUAUACUGCGCCUAACAAGGUGAUCACGGGUAACGGGGAAUCAGGGUUUGAUUCCG